AUCUCGGGAAACUGAGGGUAAUACCCCAUAGGUCUGAUAUGCUGGAAUGCUUUCAGGCCGAAAACUCCGGUGCCUUAGGAUUGGUCUGCGGUCUAUCAGGCUGUAGUGGGUGUAAUGGACCCACUAGCCCGUGACGGAUAUGGGCCUUGAGAGAGGGAGCCCAGAGAUGGACUCUGAGACAUGAGUCCAGGCCCUACGGGGCGCAGCAGUCGCGAAAACUUCGCAAUGGGGGCAACCCCGACGAGGGAAUUCCAAGUGCCAGCACUUUGUGUUGGCUGUUCUCCUGUCUAAAAAACAGGAGGAGUAAGGGGCGGGUAAGACGGGUGCCAGCCGCCGCGGUAAUACCCGCGCCCCUAGUGGUGGUCGAUAUUAUUGAGCCUAAAACGUCCGUAGCCGGUCUUCUAAAUCCUUGGGUAAAUCGGACAGCUUAACUGUCCGAAUUCCGGGGAGACUGGGAGACUUGGGACCGGGAGAGGUCAGAGGUACUUCUGGGGUAGGGGUAAAAUCCUGUAAUCCUGGAAGGACCACCGGUGGCGAAGGCGUCUGACUAGAACGGAUCCGACGGUGAGGGACGAAGCCCUGGGGCGCAAACGGGAUUAGAUACCCCGGUAGUCCAGGGUGUAAACGCUGCGGGCUUGGUGUUGGGGGUCCUUAGUGGGCGCCCAGUGCCGGAGAGAAGUUGUUAAGCCUGCUGCUUGGGGAGUAUGUCCGCAAGGAUGAAACUUAAAGGAAUUGGC
rnacentral:rRNA from 1 species